GCCCGGGUAGGCUCAGUUGGUAGAGCAGCGGAUUGAAAAUCCGCGUGUCACUGGUUCGAUUCCGGUCCCGGGCACCA
rnacentral:tRNA from 1 species